rnacentral:rRNA from 1 species
GACGAACGCUGGCGGCGUGCCUAAUACAUGCAAGUAGAACGCUGAAGGAGGAGCUUGCUCUUCUGGAUGAGUUGCGAACGGGUGAGUAACGCGUAGGUAACCUGCCUGGUAGCGGGGGAUAACUAUUGGAAACGAUAGCUAAUACCGCAUAACAGUAGAUGUUGCAUGACAUCUAUUUGAAAGGGGCAAUUGCUCCACUACCAGAUGGACCUGCGUUGUAUUAGCUAGUUGGUGAGGUAACGGCUCACCAAGGCGACGAUACAUAGCCGACCUGAGAGGGUGAUCGGCCACACUGGGACUGAGACACGGCCCAGACUCCUACGGGAGGCAGCAGUAGGGAAUCUUCGGCAAUGGACGGAAGUCUGACCGAGCAACGCCGCGUGAGUGAAGAAGGUUUUCGGAUCGUAAAGCUCUGUUGUAAGAGAAGAACGAGUGUGAGAGUGGAAAGUUCACAC